CCUUUAUGAUGUCUGCCCUUGGUGCGUAGUGCUCUGGCAUUGAUGAAGCCAUAGCAGCACCGUGGCAGUGAGCUCAGAACUUCUCAAACCCUGGAGACUGGUCCAUGUGAUCCCACAGGCCGUUUGCGACCUCAAAACUCCAUCUGUGAACCAGGAGUUGCCAUACCUUACACUACUCCAACACUGCCAUAGGGACUGAACACGUAACAGUUGAGGUUGGAUGGGAUGUCUGCAGGCAUCUGGUCCAAUCCCCCUGCUCAAGCAGGGACACCUAGAAUCCCAGGACCACAGAUGACUAUGGGUCACCUCCCGUAUGGAGCACAAUGGCCCCAUGUUGCCUGUGACAGAUCUACAAACCCUUACAAUGAAAGACAGCUCUGAGGAGGUACCAGAAGAACUGGAAUUGAAGAUUACCUGUUUAUUUGUCUACCAUCUUUGGGUUUGACUCUUUCCAUGAGAAACCUGCCAUUAUAUUUGUCUGAGUUUGAAAAAAAAAAAAAAAUUAUUUUUCCUGUUUUCAUCAGGCAAUGUUUAUAUCUUAGGAAGUAAAAGUCUCCCUGGUCAAGCUCCCUCCACACAUGCAUCGAAAUAUCUGGUAUCGAUUUUGAUCCCUUCUAUUUAUGUAAAAUUUAUUCUAUCAGGAAAAUGAUCAGAAAAGCCUUAGUGUGAUGAUCAGAAGAGGGUUGGUUGUUCUUGG